CACGGGGGGAGCAAGCGUUGUUCGGAAUCACUGGGCGUAAAGGGCGUGUAGGCGGUCAGGUAAGUGGGACGUGAAAUGCCUCGGCUCACCCGAGGAGCGGCGUCCCAUACUGCUUGGCUUGAGUACGGGAGAGGAUGUGGGAAUUCCUGGUGUAGCGGUGAAAUGCGUAGAUAUCAGGAGGAACACCGGUGGCGAAGGCGCGCAUCUGGCCCGAUACUGACGCUGAGGCGCGAAAGCUAGGGGAGCAAACGGG
rnacentral:rRNA from 1 species